CGGAGCGCACGGUUGGCUUGCUCUCCCUCUCUCCUCCCCCGGGCGGCAGCGGAGGGGACCCUAUCUCGGGCCGCCGCGCCUAGGCCCGUGAAGAGCCUGCGGCUCGGGCAUGGCGGCGGCGGCCGAGCUGUCUCGGAGCCAUCAAUAUCAAGGCAAGACCCUCUACCAGCAAAAAGAAUACAACUCUUCACUGAAGGCUCAGAUGAUGCUCAAUUCUAAACCUGCUUAGUCUGAGACCUGAAGGUGGGGUGAACCAUCUAGGCAUCUUUAGGCUGAGUGUCCUCUGGUGGCCAGUGGGGAUAUUACAUUUUUUUAAAGGAAGGUCAUCCCACACAUGCAUCCCCCACACUCUGAUGACACUGCUUACUACUGGACUGGUGGCUCAAGUUGAGUACCACCUGAAUAACUGCUGAACCAGGAGAAUGUUGUAC